UAUUGACAAUGAAGAGUUUGAUCCUGGCUCAGGAUGAACGCUAGCUAUAGGCUUAACACAUGCAAGUCGAGGGGAAACGGCAUUAUGUGCUUGCACAUUUUGGACGUCGACCGGCGCACGGGUGAGUAUCGCGUAUCCAACCUGCCCUUUACUUGGGGAUACCCCGUUGAAAGACGGCCUAAUACCCGAUGUAAUUCAUUGAUGGCAUCAGAUAUGAAUAAAAGAUUUAUCGGUAAAGGAUGGGGAUGCGUCUGAUUAGCUUGUUGGUGAGGUAACGGCUCACCAAGGCAACGAUCAGUAGGGGUUCUGAGAGGAAGGUCCCCCACAUUGGAACUGAGACACGGUCCAAACUCCUACGGGAGGCAGCAGUGAGGAAUAUUGGUCAAUGG
rnacentral:rRNA from 1 species